GUUCCAUUAAUGCAGCAACUAUCAUUUCAUUUGUAAUUAAAAAUACAAAUGUCAAAUACUAGUGAAAAAAAUGAAUUUGUAGGGGAGAAGAUAUGAAUUGGAAGCUGUCUUAUCUACUGCUGAUUGGCACCUGAAGAGAGAUGCCAAAACCAAAUUGCAGAAAAGUAAUUGAAACCUAGCACCAAAAGGGCACAAAGUGGAAAGUCAAUGGAGGUUUCAAUUCAAACAGAAUCCUAGCUGUACUUUGUCUUUCACUACCUCCAAAAGAGGCCACAGAAAUGGGGAGAGAGCUAGCAAUCAUUCCUCUCUCUAUGAACCGCCAUCUCCAGAAAUUUCCCUAAAGGGCCAGUCUACACUUUUGGAAACCAAGAUAAGCUUAUCUACAAAGGUAUGUGGGUUUUUUCCCAUACUGAUUUCUAUAAAUUUUUUCAGCUGGCUGGAAAGCAGGUACAAAAUAUACUUUUACACUGAUAUAUUUGAUACUCUAAACUUCUUUCCUGUGGCAAAUAUUCUACUGAUGCAUCUAUGCUACAACUUGCUUCAAUUAUUAUGCAGGGUGUGCCAAAGACUCUGAGGAAGGGCAUGGGCUCAGAAAGUCUUUGCUGCUCAUUUGCCUUCUGAGUUGAGAACAGUCGCCACCUUGACUUUAACAUAGGAUAAUCAAACUGUAUUAUCCAGAGUUCUGCUUACAUUUUUAUAGGCAUGAGUACUUUUGCAUCUGUAAUCCAAUUCAU
rnacentral:lncRNA from 1 species